ACCUUGUCCGAUCACUUCCUCGUUUCUGCCCCAGAUCUACGUUUUGUUUUUGCUCUGGCUCCUGCGUGUUUUUGUGAGUUUGGAUUUUUCACUAAAUUCACCCUUAACUACUCCCUGCCUCUCCCUCUCUGCAUUUGGGUUCUACAACAACCACUACACAACAUGACAAUUUUCUCUCCACUGUGGUCUUUUGGUUGCUCAGCACGGGGGAUUGCAGCAGCGUAAAGUUCCAACGCAAUCUGACAAUUUCCACAACUUUAGAGUUACAGGACGGACGGGGGGCCAGGUCAGAGGGGCCACCUGCCCACGCUAUCAAAUCACUGGUGGAUCCAUCAGAGUGCUUUGGAGGUGAUGAAUCCUGAACUCAAAGCCCAUUUAUCCCCUUCGCUGACAUGCUGGAUGAAGCAGGAGGAGCAGCGCAGCACCUUGAUGAAGUCCUGCUACUUGUGAUGGGACAUCUUGCAUAAUAAAACACUGGUAUAUAGGAGACUGAUUCGUUUUGUCCAGUUUGAACAGAAUGGUGGUUAGAUCAGACCAGACCUUUUCCAGGGACUGCUGUUCUCUUUCUCAUGAGAAGAAAAAUAAAUUCAGACUUCAAUAAAAAUCACCAAUCUCAUCUUGGUGAUU